rnacentral:lncRNA from 1 species
AUGUGUUAUCAGAAGAAGUCAACUCCACAUCAUAAACGAGAGGACAAACGCAGCGAUUACAUUUCCAGUUCUCUCGCACCCUCUGCUGCAUCAGCCACGCCCCCUACUACCACACGACUCCCUGCUGCAUCAGCCACGCCCCCUGCUACCAUUCCACUCCCUGAUAGAUUAGCCACACCCCCUGAUACCACACUACUGCCUUCUGCUUCAGCCAUGCCAUCUACUACCACACCACUUUCAUCAGCCACGCCCCCUGCUGUCAUACCGCUCCCUACUAGAUCAGCCACACCCCCUACUACCACACUACUGCCUUCUGCAUUAGCCACACCCCCUAAUACCACUCCACUUCCUUCUGCAUUAGCCACACCCCCUAAUAACACUCCACUUCCUUCUGCAUCAGCCAUGCCCCCUGCUACCAUUCCACUCCCUGAUAGAUUAGCCACACCCCCUGCUACCACACUACUACCUUCUGCAUUAGCCACACCCCCUAAUACCACUCCACUUCCUUCUGCAUUAGCCACACCCCCUAAUACCACUCUACUUCCUUCUGCAUCAGCCACGCCCCCUGCUACCAUUCCACUCCCUGAUAGAUUAGCCACACCCCCUGCUACCACACUACUGCCUUUUGCAUUAGCCACACCCCCUAAUACCACUCCACUUCCUUCUGCAUUAGCCACACCCCCUAAUACCACUCCACUUCCUUCUGCAUCAGCCACGCCCCCUACUACUACACCACUCCCUGCUACAUCAGCCACGCCCUCUGCUCUCAUGCCACUCCCUGCUACAUCAGCCACGCCCUCUGCUCUCAUGCCACUCCCUGCUACAUCAGCCACGCCCUCUGCUCUCAUGCCACUCCCUGCCACAUCAGCCACACCCCCUUCUACCACAACACUGCCCCCUGCUACAUCAAACAUGCUGUACCAUCCUCAUGCUGUACAACCGUCUGUUACAUCAUGGAUGCCUCCUACUAUUACACCGCCCCUUUCUCACACAAAAUCAGCCAGACUCUCUACUAGUGGACCAGCUCAUGUAUCAGAUUCCACCCCUGCCAUGCCGACCAAUACCUCUACUGUACCAAACCCCACUUCUUCUGUACUGGCCACGGCUCUUCCUGCUCUGUACACCCCUCAUGCAUCAGCUCCUGGGUUCAUCCCACCUCCUCCAGGUGUGGUUCCAGAUCAGAGGCCACCUCCCCUUCUCUUCCAGCAGGUGCAAUUUCAGGACCCACUCUUCCCAGGAUUCCUUUUGAAUGAGAAGAAUGAGAUUGUGCCAACUCCAUCCUACUCCUGCCUUCCCAGAGGAGAGGACCUCCCUAAAGACAUCCAAGUUUUACGAUUCUUCUUCAACCUUGGAGUGCAGGCGUACUAUCACCGCUUGAGGACGCCCAAUUCGUAUCCGCAGAAUCUCUACUUCUCCAUACCGUCUUGUGUGUCGGGUGAAAUCCCUCAACCCCUGUUGCAUCCAGGCCCCUCCCCUUUUUUGAGUAGGGAGGCACAGGCCCCGCCUCUGGUUCAGUUUACACCCCGUGACAUGUUUCUUCACCACACACCCACCAUGACACUGAACCAGAACAGCACCACCAUAGCAAGUGAGACUCCAUGGCUGCUGGACAACCAGGCAGAUGUCCCCAGGUCAAAGGUCAGCCGAGUUCAACCAGCCACAGAUCCCUACAUGCAAGAUUCUGGUGUGGACAGCAAAAGAGAACAGAAUAUCAUCACAACAUCUGAGAGAGUCUGUCCAGUACAAUCUGAUGGACCAAUCAGAAAUCCACGCUUACUGCUCCAGGCUGCAGAACCGGCAGAGACUGGUGGUGCCCUGAGAUCUGGGCAGUUCUUCUACAGAGGGAGUCCCAAGCGCUUUCACCAAAGGAGCUUCAAUGGCAGGGGAGGCUCCCGUGGCCGUAGAGAUUUCUGAUGUCAUAAAACAGGGGCGGAGCUUUGGGGGCAGGGGAGGCUCCCAUGGCUGUAGAGAUUUCUGAUGCCUGCUAGAGAGGGGGUGGAGCUUCAGCAAGCCUUUUAAUACGUUUUGAGGCCUAGUCUACUUUUAUUUUCAUGUGCCUUUUUUUUUUCAUGUGGGACUGUGGUGUGUGUCUGAAAUAUUGAUUUUUCAAUUUUGCUUUGUGCAAAGAGGUGACGGCGCUGGCUUAUUAAAGAGGUUAUAUUACAUACAACGUGAGGAAAAGCAGUCCAGCAAGAUGUAAAAAAUGCACCAGCAAUGUUACUGUUAAUGUAAUAAAAAGUUGUGGAUGAGUGGGUAAGGUGAUAGA